rnacentral:lncRNA from 1 species
GACACUUCAACAUGUAGUGUAGGAACCGGUUGGGUGUGUGGACUCGCCCUAGCCAUAUAGAGGGACUAGAGGGUCUCUGUAGACACUUCAACAUGUAGUGUAGGAACCGGUUGGAUGUGUGGGUUCACCCUAGCCACAUAGAGGGACUGGAGGGCCUCUGUAGACACUUCAACAUGUAUGUUAGGGACCACUUGACGGAUAGAACCAACACAGUCCACCAGUUGCAGUUCUUGGCCCCAGAAGUUUGCCAGUUCUUGGCAGGUAUAACACGAUAGCUUAACUGUAUGUUGCGUAGAUUAUUACUGGUGAUAAAACUUGGUUUGUUAGAAUGAAUACUCUAGACGUCUGAUCUUGUUAGCGGUUGCUAUGGUUUUUUUCAGUAGUUCUUAGCAUUAAUUACUAAGCCUCUAGCACUUAAGCACAAGACUUCGUUCAUUUCUCCCAUUUUUUUUUUUGCAAUGCCAUUGCAGUAUUAAAGCAAUGGGGCGGAUAUGGUUGGGCUACAUCCAUAAUUAGUGCCCGACACUAGAUUUAAAUUAGUUUUUUUUGAGCAACUUCAAUUUAGAUUUUCUUAAUCGUCUAAUUGCCGUCGUCAGGCUUGAGUCAUCAAACUGAUAAGGAAUUGAUGCUGGAAAUAGAUUUAGCUGCUGCAGUUUUUUGUAAAAUCUAUCUUAUCACUAAUUUCCAGUUCCUCAGACGGAUAUCCAGACCUCUGUGAAUUGCCUGUCUGUUCCAACUACAGACACAGCUUGUCUGGAACUGCAGGUAACUUAGACGUUAACUUUUAACUUCACGUAUUGCCAAUCUGACCAAAUUAGGAAUGUAAACAAUGAACUACGAAGUGUCUGUUAACAGGGCAGUUCCUGUGUGGCUACAGACCCACAGAUGGAAGCCCACAGGAGUACGUGUAAGGAACGUCUUUUCGCUUCCAUUGGUGACUUCCCUGAACUAAUGCACUACAUUGAUUCUUGCUCCGUCGAUCUGUGUGAUGUACACGAGCGGCGCCAGUGAGGGUGUGAUAGACGACUGACUUCAGAACCUGGUGGACAUAGUGAAGGUGGCUGGCCGGCUGCUGCAUCUGGCUGGGAAGGGGAGUGGUGCUGGUAGAGAUAGUUAUAGCCCCUAUGCUCCUGUGCCAGGGAAGAAUACAGAAAUAACGGUGAACGUGACUGUGCCAGAAGCCUCGAUUGAAGUCACCGUCUUCACGACGGGACACACAGUACUUCGGGACACUACUACCGUGCUUACCAGUCUCGCGGAAGGUUACGACACUGUCCUCGCCUCUUACGGUGAUGUAGACUAUCCAGUGACCUCUACGGUAGCUGCUGUAGCACCUACAAUACCCCAGUCUGCAGCUACGAUUGUAUUAUUUGGGAACUAAGUGGGCCUAUUCUUCCCUAGUCUUUUUUUUUCCCCCCUAACAAAUGUUUGGAUCGACAUGUCCUUUUUUUUUCAAAAAUAUCAAACAUAAAGAAUUUAACUUGUGGAAUUUUUUUGUUUAUUUAUUAGUGCUCUUGUAAUUUAUUUUGGGCAAGUUUCUUAAUUUGGAAACUUGAUGGUAUAUUUUAAUAAAAUAUUGACAUUUAGGCUAAACGGUCAUUGGGUAAUGAAAUUCAGAAUUAAUUCUGUUUUAAAAGAUUUUUGGAAUUCAUAUAACAGAAGUUCUCUGCAAAAUGUAUUAACUUGCUUUUUACUGUGCAAUUAAAAUCUUAGAUCAUU